UUGGAGGGCAAGUCUGGUGCCAGCAGCCGCGGUAAUUCCAGCUCCAAUAGCGUAUAUUAAAGUUGUUGCAGUUAAAAAGCUCGUAGUUGAAUUUCGGGAUCAGAUUGUCGGUCGUGCCUCGGUACGCACUGGCAUUAUUGGUUCCUACCUUCUGAAGAACCGCGAUGUCAUUAAUUUGGUGUCGUGGGGAAUCAGGACUGUUACUUUGAAAAAAUUAGAGUGUUUAAAGCAAGCUUACGCUUGAAUACAUUAGCAUGGAAUAAUGAAAUAGGACGUUUGAUUCUAUUUUGUUGGUUUCUAGGAUUGACGUAAUGAUUAAUAGGGAUAGUUGGGGGCAAUAGUAUUCAAUUGUCAGAGGUGAAAUUCUUGGAUUUAUUGAAGACUAACUACUGCGAGAGCAUUUGCCAAGGAUGUUUUCAUUACUCAAGAACGAAAGUUAGGGGAUCGAAGACGAUCAGAUACCGUCGUAGUCUUAACCAUAAACUAUGCCGACUAGGGAUCGGAUGAUGUUAAUUUUUCAAUGACUCAUUCGGCGCCUUACGGGAAAC
rnacentral:rRNA from 1 species